CAGCGUAGGGGGCAAGCGUUUGUCCGGAUUUAUUGGGCGUAAAGAGCUCGUAGGUGGCUCGGUAAGUCGGGUGUGAAAUUUCGAGGCUCAACCUCGAGACGCCACCUGAUACUGCUGUGGCUAGAGUCCGGGUAGGGGAGCGUGGAAUUCCUGGUGUAGCGGUGAAAUGCGCAGAUAUCAGGAGGAACACCGAUGGCGAAGGCAGGUCUCUGGGCACUUACUGACGCUGAGGAGCGAAAGCGUGGGGAGCGAACAGG
rnacentral:rRNA from 1 species